UACGGAGGGUGCAAGCGUUAAUCGGAAUUACUGGGCGUAAAGCGUGCGCAGGCGGUUCGUCGUGUCCGAUGUGAAAGCCCCGGGCUCAACCUGGGAAUGGCAUUGGAAACUGGCGGACUCGAGUGUGGCAGAGGGGGGUGGAAUUCCGCGUGUAGCAGUGAAAUGCGUAGAGAUGCGGAGGAACACCGAUGGCGAAGGCAGCCCCCUGGGCUAACACUGACGCUCAGGCACGAAAGCGUGGGGGAGCAAACAGG
rnacentral:rRNA from 1 species